rnacentral:sRNA from 2 species
AGUCAACUUGUUUGAUUUUAUAUAUCAGUGUGGAUUCCUGCCGCUUAAGUCUAACAGCAAUGGGAACCAUUACGAAUCCAAUCGCGCAAAAAGGGAAAUUGAUGUAGAACGUCCACCGCCAUGUUGAGUGUUCAGCAAAUAUGCCGCCGAAAAGUGGUCCAAGUAUGGUUCCAAUAGCCCAUGCAAUCUGAAUAAUUGCGGUGAACUUAGGGCGUUGCCUGAGAGGGACAAUGUCGUUUUGAGCCAAACAUGCGAUUAAUGAACCGGCAGUAAAAAGGGAAACGCUGGCUAGCAUCACUUCUCGUCGUCCAAAUAUAUCGGAUACGGCGGCGAUGAAAGGUUGAAAUAUGGCGUACGUCAAGAGAAAUGAGGUUCCUGCCCAGAAUGCUUCAACAGCGGUGCCGUUUAGAUCGCUAGCUAUCGUCUAUCAUACAAGGAGUAAGGCUAUUGUCCCGAAUGAAUAAAGUAGAUGAUG